AAUUUUAUAGUCAAAUCUAUGACACUAGAAUGCAAUUCUAGAGUUGCUUAAGCUAAGAUUU
rnacentral:tRNA from 1 species